rnacentral:rRNA from 1 species
AGAAUGAACGCUGGCGGCAUGCCUAACACAUGCAAGUCGAACGAAGGCUUCGGCCUUAGUGGCGCACGGGUGCGUAACGCGUGGGAAUCUACCCUUAGGUUCGGAAUAACAGUUGGAAACGACUGCUAAUACCGGAUGAUGACGUAAGUCCAAAGAUUUAUCGCCUAGGGAUGAGCCCGCGUAGGAUUAGCUAGUUGGUGUGGUAAAGGCGCACCAAGGCGACGAUCCUUAGCUGGUCUGAGAGGAUGAUCAGCCACACUGGGACUGAGACACGGCCCAGACUCCUACGGGAGGCAGCAGUGGGGAAUAUUGGACAAUGGGCGAAAGCCUGAUCCAGCAAUGCCGCGUGAGUGAUGAAGGCCUUAGGGUUGUAAAGCUCUUUUACCCGGGAUGAUAAUGACAGUACCGGGAGAAUAAGCUCCGGCUAACUCCGCGCCAGCAGCCGC